rnacentral:rRNA from 1 species
UAGGGAAUCUUCCGCAAUGGGCGAAAGCUUGACGGAGCAACGCCGCGUGAGUGAUGAAGGUCUUCGGAUCGUAAAACUCUGUUAUUAGGGAAGAACAAAUGUGUAAGUAACUAUGCACGUCUUGACGGUACCUAAUCAGAAAGCCACGGCUAACUACGUGCCAGCAGCCGCGGUAAUACGUAGGUGGCAAGCGUUAUCCGGAAUUAUUGGGCGUAAAGCGCGCGUAGGCGGUUUUUUAAGUCUGAUGUGAAAGCCCACGGCUCAACCGUGGAGGGUCAUUGGAAACUGGAAAACUUGAGUGCAGAAGAGGAAAGUGGAAUUCCAUGUGUCGCGGUGAAAUGCGCAGAGAUAUGGAGGAACACCAGUGGCGAAGGCGACUUUCUGGUCUGUAACUGACGCUGAUGUGCGAAAGCGUGGGGAUCAAACAGG